rnacentral:lncRNA from 1 species
UUAAUUUGAUCACAAUUAAUCAUAACACAACAAAUUAAAUCGGGUAAAAGAAAUAACUCCCAUCAAGAUGCAGUGUAUAUAUAUAGUGGUACUCUUACUGACUAUUGUUGUUGAAUGACAUGUGCUGAGGAAGUGUAAAGACAAACUGUUGGUCACGCAUGGCUUUGUCUUGCGAAAUAUAUGUAUGUGAGACUCAAACGUAGGAAAGACAAAGUAAAAAUUUCCAAAUCUUCGUCUUGUCUGAAAAAAGAAAGUGGGAAAAGCCAACCGUGCCAACCUCAUCAGACUUCAUAGCCGCCCCCAUUGAUUUGUCACACCACCUCCCUCCUUCCCUUCCUCUAAUUAACUACUGUUCAUGUGACAGUCCCAGCUCCUUCACUCAGAAAGACUAAUUUCUAGUCAACAUUUCAUUGUCGACUCCACACCACAGCACAGGGAUCUCUAUGUUACUGUCUAAGAAAUAUUUUCUGACCUGUUUUUUAUAAUUAUUUUUUUGAAGGGUGUGAAAACAAAUUAAAUUCAAUAGAAACUUUCAAAGAAGCAAGCAAGAGAAGAUGCUAUGUUACUUGGGGC